UCGGGAAUUUUGGGCAAUGGGCGAAAGCCUGACCCAGCAACGCCGCGUGAAGGAUGAAGUCUCUCGGGAUGUAAACUUCGUAAGAAUAGGAAGAAUAAAUGACGGUACUAUUUAUAAGGUCCGGCUAACUACGUGCCAGCAGCCGCGGUAAUACGUAGGGACCAAGCGUUGUUCGGAUUUACUGGGCGUAAAGGGCGCGUAGGCGGCAAUUCAAGUCAUCUGUGAAAUCUCCGGGCUUAACUCGGAACGGUCAGAUGAUACUGCUUUGCUAGAGUGCAGAAGGGGCAAUCGGAAUUCUUGGUGUAGCGGUGAAAUGCGUAGAUAUCAAGAGGAACACCUGAGGUGAAGACGGGUUGCUGGGCUGACACUGACGCUGAGGCGCGAAAGCCAGGGGAGCAAACGGGAUUAGAUACCCUUGUAGUCCCUGAGCGGGCUGGCAAGGCGCAU
rnacentral:rRNA from 1 species